AGAACUGCAGAUAGUACAGCUUCCACAGGAGCAAGGGAUGUCUGAGCACAAGUGGCUGAGUUCCGAGUGACUUUAUGAAGCACUUUCUACCUUCCUCUCCGGCAUGAAAACAGGGAUUCUGCACCUGCAUCAUGGACAGUCUGGCAAAAGCCUCUGCUCUGCCUCCGGGGACAAGAAACUAGAGCAAAUAACCGUUUUGAAAUUAGAUCCUGGCAAAAUUACCAACAAUCAAUGAUGGAAACUGAAGGGAGAUUGAUUUAAAUCUUCAAUGACAGUUGUACAGAAGUUGAAGAAACACGUCAUCUUUCCAAAGAAGAGUGAGUAGCUUGGUUGGUGGUACCCUAAAAUUAGGGCAUGAUUAAGGUCUCGCUCUGCCACCCAGGCUAGGAGUGCAGUAGAGUGACUACAGUUCACAGCAGACUCAACCUUCCAGGCUCAAGCAAUCCUCUCACCUCGGCCUCCCAAGUACCUGGGACUACAGGCACACUCCACCAUUCCCAGCUAAUUUUUGUAUUUUUUGUAGAGACAUGGUUUUGACAUAUUGUCCAGGCUGGUCUUUUACUGUCAAAUUGCUAUAUUUUAUUGCUUUUGUUUUUGAAUAUUU